rnacentral:rRNA from 1 species
UUAAAAUUUAAAUAAUUUAAAUUAGAUGAUUAAUAGUUAUGGUCUUAAAAUUCAAGAGAUUUGGCGGUAUUCUAUCAAAUUAGGGGAAUUUGCUUAUGAAUUGAUAAUCCGCAAGAAAUCUUACUUUAUUUAAUUAAUUUAUAUGUCGCCGUUUAUUAGAGAGUCUUAUUAGGGGGAUAACUUUCUUAAACUUUUAUAGGAUAAUAAUUCAGGUAAGAUGUAGUUUAUAAUAAAGGUUAAGUGAAUUACAAUAAAGUUAUUUAUUAUGAAUAUUAUAUUGAAAUAUAUAAUUGAAGGUGGACUUAAAAGUAAAAUAAAAAAUUAUAUUUAUUUGAAUUUAGAUCUAGAAUAUGU